AUACGUAGGGGGCGAGCGUUGUCCGGAAUGAUUGGGCGUAAAGGGCGCGUAGGCGGCCCGGUAAGUCUGGAGUGAAAGUCCUGUUUUUAAGAUGGGAAUUGCUUUGGAUACUGUCGGGCUUGAGUGCAGGAGAGGUAAGUGGAAUUCCCAGUGUAGCGGUGAAAUGCGUAGAGAUUGGGAGGAACACCAGUGGCGAAGGCGAGUUACUGGACUGUAACUGACGCUGAGGCGCGAAAGUGUGGGGAGCAAACAGGAUUAGAUACCCUGGUAGUCCACACUGUAAACGAUGAAUGCUAGGUGUAGGGGGUAUCGACCCCUUCUGUGCCGCAGUCAACACAAUAAGCAUUACGCCUGGGGAGUACGGCCGCAAGGUUGAAACUUAAAGGAAUUGACGGGG
rnacentral:rRNA from 1 species